UACGUAGGUGGCAAGCGUUGUCCGGAAUUACUGGGUGUAAAGCGCGCGUAGGCGGUAGGCCAAGUCUGCUGUGAAAUCGCCCGGCUCAACUGGGCGCGGUCGGUGGAAACUGGUCAACUGGAGGACGGUAGAGGCGAGUGGAAUUCCCGGUGUAGUGGUGAAAUGCGUAGAGAUCGGGAGGAACACCAGUGGCGAAGGCGGCUCGCUGGGCCGGACCUGACGCUGAGGCGCGAAGGGCGUGGGGAGCGAACGGG
rnacentral:rRNA from 1 species